CAUGUUUACUGGUCUUGAGAUGGAAAUGGAGUUUAUGAAGUUUAUAUUGGCAUCUGCACCUGUACUUGAGGAGAUCUUCAUUUGGAAUUGUACGCGUUGCCUUUUUCGUUCGUGUAAACAAAUGAUCGAUGAGAUGAAAGAAUUCCGCAGAGCAUCACCCAAUGUUGAAUUCACAUUUGAAGAAAUCGAUAUGGAAGGUGGAUAUGAACAUGAAGAAGUCAUGGAAGUGCCAUGAUUUUGCUAACAUAUUUUGUUUUGUAGCGCUUAGUUUGCCUGUUAUGCCCUGUCUUGUCUGUCUAAUAUUAUGCAGUAUGUAUAUAUGUGCUUGGCUAAGUAAGUUUUAACAGUUUGAUGAACUAUGACUCUACUUGUAAUGGUCACUGUAUUACCAUGUUAUUUUUAUUUUGGCCCCCGUGUUAUACAAUUAUGCAUAUUUAAUCUUUAAUUAACUUAAAUGUGUAGUUUUUGUCUAUAAAACUGAAUAAAUGGGGUAACCUUUUGUCUAAAUAAGGAGUAAUAAAAAAACGUUUUCAAAGUGGAUACAUGAAACUUGGAGGUUCGAAUAGGGAUAAUCGGAUCAGUUUGCUAACAUCAAGGACAAUUUUGUCCUAUUUUUAAUAGUUCAAGGGUAUUUUUGGGACCAAAAUUAAACGAAGGAUAUCUUUGUUUCAUUUCAAUAGUUCAGGAUUCUUUUUUGGCCAUUGUUUUUUUUUUUUUUUUGAUUUUAUGAUAAUUUUGUUUAGCACUUAACUUCAGUAUACACAUAAAGUUAAAGGCAUAAUACAUCAAUAUAACCUUUAACUUGAUCUCAUUUUAUGUUUAUGCCCUCAAACUUUGGGUGUAACUUGUAUAAAAUUGAACAAAUAGACACACACGUCCUAUGUGACAUCCUACGUGAUGUCCUACAUGUAUUAUGACACAUAAAACUCAUGUCAUGAUUCAACUAUAAUAAACUGAAUUGCUGAUGAUUCAGCCCAAUUGCACACAAAGGAAAAUGGUUUAACAUUCGUGAUUUGUCUUAUAUAUGCCUUUCCUCAAUUGACGCACCCAACGUUAUCUUUUAUCUUAAGUAUACCCCUAAACUAUUUAAAAGUUCGUUUCUAUUGAAUAAAUAUUUCUUUUGCAAGUACACGUUCUUUUUGAAGAAACACUUCAAUUCUUUAUCAAAAAAUUAAGAAUGUGAAACCUUCUUGUUAUAUUGUUUGAUCUUAAACAUGUAAUAGAAGUGCUUUUCAUACAUUUUGCCAUAAGGUUAUAUUUAUAUUUGAAAAAUGUUAUAAAAUACUACAUACAUGUUAGAAUAUUUAGUUCGGUUCGGAUUUUUUUUGAUUUUCUUUUAUAAAUUAAAAGGGCCAUUCCAAUUGUUCAGGAUGGUUACACACUUAAAUAAAAAUUCACUAUUUUAUUGAAAAAUGAUAUAAAUCGAUUCGGUACGGUUAGGUUCAAUCGGUUCAGUCAGUUUUUCAUAUUCUUUUGACACCCUACAUGAGUUAUAAACUCAAAUGCCUAAUUAACACUAGAUAGAAUUAGUCCGUGCAAGCACGGGCCUAGGGGUGUGCAAAAAUUGAACCGAAAAAAUGUUAUUGGUUUAUUGUUAUUGGGUUAACAGUUAUUUAAUGGUUUUAUAAAAAAAAUUAUUGGGUUAUUGGUUCGAUAUUGAUUUUUUAAUAUUAGGUUAUUGGAUUAACCGAUAACCCAUUAAUAAUAUAAUAAUUUACUAUUUUAAUUUUUAAUCACAGAUAAAUAUCAAACAAAAAAUAUUAAUAUAAUCACUGUAUUAGACUAUAACUAUAACCCUACACAGUUAACACUACUUAAUUCUACUCUAUGCAUUUACCCUUUAGGUUUUAGCAUUACUUUAGUCUUUAGGUUCACAAUGUCAAAACCUAAAGAACUAAAAACAACGUUGGGCUAGCGUUUGCAACGACAACGGCGACAAGGAUUAGGCAACGACUAGGGUGGUGAAUUGCGAGUAUUUUGCUAUAGUACUUUUACUACACUAAUCAUAAUUUUUGUAUUCACUGAGUAAUUUGAUUUCUCUCUUUUUUAUUUCGUGUCAAAUUGUUGGACAAGUUAUAUAUUUGUUUUGAAAGCAUUUUCUUACUAGUUAAAUCGAAAUCGAACCGUUAAAGACCAAAAAUCGAUGACAAAUAUAUAUAUCUUAUUAUUUUGGUUGUCGGUUUAGCAUAAUUAAAAAAUCAAAAAUUAAUAAAUCGAAUCGAUAAUACUUAAAACUGAACCGAAUCGACCGAUACAUACACCCCUACACGGGCCAACUUGCACGGGCCAACACAUGUUGUUCUAGCGAAAUUCGUUUCAACAGAUGUAAUGACAUUCUAUUGUAGUGAAAUUUGUUUCAAAAGACACAAUAAAUGAAAUAAAAAGGGAAAAUAUGUAAAAAAAAUUCCUGAAUUUGGUCGAAUAACUUACUUUAAUACUUAAAUUAUACGGGCGUUUAAAUACGCCCUUAACAUCUUUGAAGUGAUUUUAAUUUCCACCCUGAGACUAUAACACCACUCUCACCCGCUACAUCAUAGCCACGUAAGCGCCACAUCAUAACCAUGUAGGCACCAUGUCAUUAAUUUUUAUUUCUUUUUUACUUAUUCACUAUUUUUUCUUAAACACUUUUCUUUCUUCUUCCUUGUUGUUCACCAUUAUUCCAACCUUCCAUACUUUCUUUUCUUCUUCUUCACUAUUCAACAAUUUUUAAGUCACUUUAAAGAAGAAAAUUCACUAAUAUUCACAUUAUCUUCUUUGAAUCCUUCCAACGAAUUUACCCACUUGGAGAAUGAAUUUUUUUGAAAGCCAAUAUUUUUUUGACAACUCAAAUAAGAAAUGAAGAUUGCAUAAGAAAGUUAGUCCAAAAAAAUAUAAAUUUUAUGAGAAGUGUUUGAAUGGAUCUAGAAAUUAAAAUGGGUCACUCAAAAUUUAAGAAAGUUUACAUUUGCCAAAUCAACACCAAUAAUAUAGAGUGAAAUCGACGUCAAUAAAAUGACAUUGGUGUUGAAUUUUACGAAUUAAUAAAAGACUAGUGAAAUGAAAAUAGUGGAUAGAGGUGGGGAUGAAGAUGGAGGAGGAGAUGUUUCAAUGGAGAAAGAUGUGUAUUGAGGAAAACAACAAAAUGAAAAGAAAAAAAAAAUUAAAAAAAUUAAAAAGAGGACCCACUAAUUUCAUUUACCUCUUAUUAAGAAAAUUUACAUAUUUUAAAGAUUUAAUAUAUAUAAAAAGCUAUUUAAAUAAUUUGUUAUAUAUAGGCCAAUAAAAAAGGCCAUGUGUAGGGCUUUAAAAAUUCAGCUUUUUUUCUAUGUUUUCACGCACUUUCAGGAGAGUGCACUCACUCUCUCUGUCACAUCAUCCCUUAGGGGGUGUUUUAAUCACUUCAAAGAUGUUUAUGGGGUAUUUAAACACCCGUGUAGUUUAAGUACUAAAGUAAAUUUUCGUGCCAAGUUCAGGGUGGGUUUUUAUGUAUUUUCCCAAAUAAAAAUGAUAAGUUAAAGAGUUUUUCAUAAAACAUGGGCCAUAAUCUUGAUUAAUUUCUUCACAUAAACUGCAAGCAUUGUUUAUCCUAUCAGAUUUAUAAAAUUUGUAAACAAAACGAUAAUGAAAAAAAAAUAAGAAGAUUUUUCUAAAUUUGAAAGAAUUGCAAACCUCAAAAUUUAUGAGAUCAAACUGAGAAAGAGCGUGUGAAACAAAAAAAAUAUUACUAGAAAAAAUAAGAGAAAAGAAAAAGGCAUCUAAUAUGAGUAGAGGUGUGCACUAUUUGGAUUAAACCGAAAAAUCAAACCAAAUCAAACCGAAUUCUAAUUUGGAUUGGUUUUUUGGAUUUUUGGUUUGGUUUUGGAUUUAUAAGUUACUUUGUUUGGUUUUUUUUGGUUUGGUUUCGGAUUUAAAAAAAUGAAAACCGAAAAAAACCGAAUUAUAUAUAUAUAUAUAUAUAUAAAUAGAUUAAUAAUUACACAUAUAAUAUUUAGGUUUACUAUGUAGGCCGUAGGGUACUAAUAAUUCAGUAUUGUUGUAAUAUUUAGGCCCAUAUCAAAUUACUGCCAUCCUAUUUCACUAAAUUUUAGGCAUUAGGUUUUACAUUAUAACUAUAAAUAUCACAUAUUACUUGCACUUUCAUGACAAAAAAAUUAGCAGAACUAGAAUUAGUACUUUUCCUUAUAUGAUUUUUUUUUUUUUUAAGCAUGCAAAUAUAACUUUGAUUAUGUUAUUAAUUAGUUAUGAAAUAAGUUAUAACCGAAUAGCCAAACCGAAAAAAACCAAACCGAAAAGAGAAAAAUCGAACCGAACCAAUUUUUUUUUGGUUCGAAUUGGGUUAUACUUUUUCAAACCGAAAACCGAAUAACACAAAAUCGAACCGAAAAACCGAAUGCACACCCCUAAAUAUGAGGACUGAGGUGGCUAUAGUCAAUAAAGCCACGUAGUUAAAUGUAUUGGCAAUUGAAGGAAAAACACACGUAAUAUUAAGAAGCUUAGAACUUAAAUGACAAAUAUACCCACAAUUUGAAAUUUAAUGACAAAAAACAAACAUUAGGGUUAUUUUUGUACAAAUGAGAAAAUAUAAAUGAAUUUCAACCUCUCUGUCCUGCAUUUCGGGUAAAAUUUACUGUCUCCGGCAUUCGAUCUCUCUGAGACUCUCACUACUGGUAAGUAAGCAUCUUCUAUAAUCUUUGAUUAUUUGCUCACAAAUUUUAGUUAUUUGUUGAAUAAUCAAACUCAUUAUGAACCCAUCAAGCUAGGUUUUUUUUUUGUUUUUUUUUAUCGAUAAUCAUAACUGACUAAUUCACCAGUACCAUGGGUUGUCCAAAUCAUCUUGUGUUUUGACGCCGCUGGAAUUUGAAUCUUAUAUGUCGUGAUUUUCAACCCACUUUAUUGAAAUGGUGUGGUAAUAUCACCAGAAGAUUAAUUCCUGAACCGGAGAAAUCACGAGUACUUGGUGGAUAAUGGACUCCGUUCAGUUCGCGAAUUUCGAUCCGAUUUCAGCAAAAUGAAAUUUACUUAGAGGUCAACUGUGAGUUCUCUAUGCUAUGUCUGUUUUAUCUACUAAAACUGCAUCAUUGGAUAGAGUAUAUAAUUAUUACUAUCUUGGGAAGUUAUAACUAUGGGACUUAUUUGUGAACUGUGAGUUCAAUUGGAAAGAAAAGUAAAGUGACCGCUUUUAAAUCAAGCUCAAAUAUUGAGGAACCUUGGCUAAUGCGAGGAGGAAAAUCCAUAUAUAAGUUUUCAAUAGAUUAGAUGGGCGGAAUAUCCUGAAGAGUAAUGAAACCUUUGUAGGAGCUUUAUUGAUACUAGUUGUGUUUUAUUUCGCUGUCAUCCCAUGUUUAUUGAAGGGGAUUCAACUAAAUACCAUUUUGCCAAAAGAUUGUAUUGUGUAUGUAGGUUAAAUAUUAUUUUAUGUGUACAUAUAUACUUGUUGAAUCCUCUGCAUACAAGAGAACAUUUUUUUGAAUCCCUUGAUGAAAAUCUUGCUUUUACCACUGGUCUUCAAAUAAUUAUUUUCUUUCUAUGAUAUUGAUAAAUGAUAAAAUUUGAUGCAGUUGCAGACGUUGAACCACUAGUUAUUUUCAAUACAUUACUGAAAUGUAUUUGGAUAUUGCCUUUAUCGCUGAUUUUAAUUUUCAGAGUUGUUGACAAACUUGUUUGGUUAGACCAUGAGGAAUGCUUCGACAUCUGGUGUAGAUACAAUUAGCAAUUUGCCUUGUAAUGUUCUCGAUGGAAUACUUGGGUGCUUGCCUUGGAAAGAUGCAGUGAAGACCAGUAUCUUGUCAAAAGACUGGAGGUACAAAUGGGUAACACGUCAAGAACUUGAUUUUAAUGAUGAGUUUUUCAAGUCUUUCAAACAAGAUGAAGAAGCCAAGAGAAUCAUUUACCAAGUCCUAUUAGUCCAUAAAGGACCAAUACUGAAGUUUAGACUCUGUAGGAUUACGAGUUGUACUGAUAUUGAUCAUUGGAUGCACUUCUUAUCGAAGAAAAAUGUUCAGGAAUUCACCCUUCAUGUAAGCUUAGGAAACAAAUAUCAUUCACCUCAUCAUCCUUUUACAUUCCAGCAACUAAGGUUUUUGGAACUUCAAGAUUGCUUGUUCCACCCUCCACUCGGUUUCAAAGGGUUUGAGAAGCUUAUUAAUCUCGAUCUUAUGGAUGUCACUUUUGAUCCAUCAAUAUUAACAAAUCUCAUCUCUAAAAGCCCGUUGCUUGAACGGUUGCGGUUGCGUUCCAUCACAAGNNNNNNNNNNNNNNNNNNNNNNNNNNNNNNGCUAAUCUCAAAUUCUUUGAGUUUAUUGGAAAAACAAAAUCCAUUUCCUUCAAGAACGCACCUAUGCUUGAAAAAGUUACCGUGGGUUUCCUUGGACGACGACUUUUGACUGAUACAUCUCCUGUUUGCUCUAAUUUCCCAAAGUUCUUCCAUUACAUGCCUUCACUACUAGAACUGGAUAUAUGCGGUACAACAUUAGAGGUAAUGUACAUUUGUGAUAUUACUAUCAUAACUAAAUGAUGAAUCUGAUUGGUGUCUUAAAGUAAUUUUUGACUUUCUUGUAGUACUUGAUCAAGGGAGGUUUACCAGAGAGUCCCCCAACUGCUCUGAACAAUAUCAAAUCUCUCAUUAUAUCGUCCAUGUCUCUAAUAAACGCCGAGGUGGUUUCAAGUGCCAUUUACUUGAUUACAAGCUGUCCUAAAUUACAAGAUCUUACAAUUGACUUUGUAAGCACUCUCUUAAUUUUUUUCAUUAAGGUGAUUGAAUAUGGUUUCUUAUUCAUCUGAACUCGCCUAAUUAACCGUUCCUCAAAAAUUCUUUAGUACCCUGUGGGGGAUAUUGUUGAACCUGUUGUACAGUUGCUACGAGCCCAAUCAUCCUCAUAUGGUGUUGUGAAGCUUCAAAGAGUUCGAGUGAACAUGUUUACUGGUCUCGAGAUGGAAAUGGAGUUUAUGAAGUUUAUAUUGGCAUCUGCACUUGUACUUGAGGAGAUCUUCAUUUGGAAUUGUACGUGUUUCCUUUUUCGUUCAUGUAAACAAAUGAUCGAUGAGAUGAAAGAAUUCCGCAGAGCAUCACCCAAUGUUGAAUUCACAUUUGAAGAAAUCGGUAUGGAAGGUGGAUCAUAUG
rnacentral:lncRNA from 1 species